rnacentral:rRNA from 1 species
UACGUAGGGUGCAAGCGUUAAUCGGAAUGACUGGGCGUAAAGGGUGUGUAGGCGGUUUGUUAAGUCUGAUGUGAAAUCCCCGGGCUCAACCUGGGAACUGCGUUGGAAACUGGCAAACUAGAGUACGUAAGAGGGGGGUGGAAUUCCACGUGUAGCAGUGAAAUGCGUAGAGAUGUGGAGGAACACCGAUGGCGAAGGCAACCCCCUGGGACGAUACUGACGCUGAGGCACGAAAGCGUGGGGAGCGAACAGG